AAAGAAAGAAGAGAUAAAAGAGGAAGGGAAGACAGGGAAAAGAAGGAAGAAAAGAGAGGCGACUCCUAGCAGCGGCCGAGCUUACAGAGAGAAGGGUGGAGGUGUGUGGUGGAAGGGGAAAGCCGGCCGGCUGGCAAAGCGCUGCGGAGAAAGACACGAGGCUCCUGAGCAGGGAAAGCCGAGGUUGCCACCGCAGGCCUGGCACGACCAGGGCCGUGAUGCCCCGCCCGGCCCGACCCCCGCGCGCAGAGGUACCUGGAGACGAUUUCAACUGAAGUAAUGAAGGCAGUGUCGUGCUGUCGAGAGAAAGGUGGAUCCCAACAACAGGAAACUACCUAAAUCACCGACCAGUUCUGGUGCUGCCCGCGAAGGGCUGCCUCGCCCGCCGCCGCCGCCGCCUCCGCCGCUGCCGCCGCCGCCAAGGAGAGAACCCUGCCAUCGCGCCUGGCCCGGCCCAGCCCAGCCCCUAGGCAACCUGCGCCCGCCAGUGCAACAGAGUGCCCCAGGCGGCCGCAAAUGCGUCAAGGAAGGGGAAGCCACAGGCCCCAGUAAGCCAAAGUCAAGCCCGUUUGCCAACCUGCAUGUCCAUGCCUGUAAGCCCUUCUCUUGGCCAAGGAAGAAAGGAAGAAAGAAAAAAGAAACCCAGGGGCCUGUAUCCCCUGAUUAAACACAGCACAGCACUCCAGGCAGACAUGCCCGGUGGCGGCUCCUUUGCACCAUUGACCUCAGGCCAGACACCUCAGCGCCAACAAUGGGACCUCGGCCUUCCGGCUAGGUUUGCCCCAGGCUGGGCAGGAAACCAGCUCGGCCGAAGACAGGGGCCAUUUCGAGCAGUGGGACCCCAAGACAGCAAACCCAGCCCAGUCAGGACUUGACACUUAGGACAAUAUCUAUCUCUAUAGAAUUUUAGCAUGAUAUGGCUUUUUCCCCCAGAAAACAACAAAUAAACCAGCACCAAGCAAACACAAAGAAACAAAAAGUCAGAACAAACCAGCCCUGCACAGAUGUAACGGCCCAGGAGAUGGCGAGUGUGGGAGGGAGGAACAGGGCUCCAGCACAGGUGCGAGUUCCUGGGCAGAGCCUGAAGACAGAGGGAGGGGACCAGCGCUCGGGAAGUGAAAAAACCGCGUCGCCUGGAGAUUCAUCAGGAAAAAUUAAAGU
ensembl:lncRNA HOXA10-AS HOXA10 antisense RNA